AUGGAAAUUAAGAUAACUACCGAAGCUACUCUAGAUGAUGAACAAACUAUAAACACAAGUAACAUUAUGGAACCUAUUUCUGAUUCAAUUUUAGAUUAUUUAUGUCCUCCAUUAAAAACCAAAACACCAACCUCACACCAAUCACCUUCACAUUCAUCUGAACACACACUAUCACUCAUUCUUGACAUGGUUCUACCCUUAUAA